UCAGCCGGUAAAGUAUACGGAUUUCUUGAGAUGCAAGGGGAAGUCGGCUAAAUGAGAAAUUAUUCAGAGAGGGCUCCGUCUCAUUAAAACAGAGAUGUGACGUCAACGGAUGAAUUAUAUUACAUCUCCCUUUUUUCCGUACCGACUGCCUCUUGGCCGCUCUCCUCACUCGCUCCUCUUUCUCCUGCUCCUCGCGGCAGCGGUGGAAGUUCUCCACCACCACUCCCACGAACAUGUUCAGCACGAAGAACCCCACAAGCAGUAUGAACGCGAUGAAGUACAGGAGACGCCAUUCAGAGUAGUUCACUAUUGGCUGUUGAAUAAACCAUGUGGAGGUGAGCCGACUCCGUGGUAACAUUUAUUCUACGAGAAAUUCUACGAUAACAGUUGGAUAAACUUGAUAUGAGCUUUAGGCUAAUGUUACGAGGCAUUUCUAUGAAUAAGUGUAUGAUGUUAUAUUAAAGCCGA